rnacentral:lncRNA from 1 species
AUGAAAAUGACACACAGGAAUGUCCUGAAGGCCACCAUUGAUGUUCCUGAAGCAGGAGAAGUCAACUUUCAUUGCACCCACCUCGAUCAUCUUGAUGAGAGUUGGAGGAUGAGGCAGAUUAAUGCUAUAAUCCAAUCAAGCAAUGAGCCCCACAUCUUGGCUGGAGACCUCAAUUCUUUGGAUGAGUCAGACUACUCUCAAGAAAGAUGGACUGAUAUUGUAAAGGUGAGACAUGAUGACACUUCCAAAUUAUCAGAAAUUAUCUGUACAAGACCUCCGGUUUUUGCCAAAAGGACCGAUUUUGUACGGAUAACACGUCUAUACAUUUUGUUAUUAACAUGUAAUCUAUCAAUGUUUUCAACAGUUCGUCAUUUAAUAAAUAAAUAAAAAGAACAUCAUGUUCAGAGAAGAACUGUACAAAUUAUGUACCUAACAACGCUUUGAUUUGUUUUGGCUGCAGUAUUAUGAGGAUAUGGGUAAACCAAGGCCCAAGGUUGAAGUAAUGAGAUACUUGAAGAGCAAGCAGUACACAGAUGCAAAGGACUUUGAAGGAGAAUAUGAGUCAGUGGUUAUGAUUGCCAAAGGCCAAAGUAAACCAACCCGAAACCCUAAUGUUAACUUGUUACCUGGUUUGAGCUUGAGCGCUAUUGUUUUUCUAAAUGCAUAAAUUUGUACCUUAACGCAGGUGUGCAGGGAACAUGCAAGUACGGAACGAGAGUAGAUUAUAUAUUAGCAUCUGCGAACUCACCUUACAAAUUUGUUCCUGGAUCAUACUCAGUGUUUUCUUCCAAGGGGACAUCAGAUCAUCAUAUAGUAAGAGUUGAUGUUGUAAAAGUGGAUAAUUGUGGUGAAGAAAAUAACAGCAGAAGAAGGCAGCUGAAGCAAAAAGUUACCAAGAUAACAAACCCUACUUCCCAGUCAAAAGGAAUAUGGAAAAUCCCACAUAUAUGAAAAGAGCGUGCUAUCUACACACAUCUUUUUACCUUUCAUACAAUCUUCUCAAUUUCCGAUCAUCAGCUCGAAUGAAAUGAAGAAGAUCAAAUGAUAGAAAUUAACUUAAAAUGUGUAAAAGAUAAGCGAGGUGUGUAGAUAGCACAACCCAUAUGAAAAAAACAUAUAGAUUAAUAAUUGACUUUUACUUUUACAGUUUAGAUUUAGGGUUUGGUUUGUUGAAGGAAGGGCAGGUUCUGGCUUGGGAUCUGCAUUUAUCUCCUACAGUUAGUAAAAUAUUUUCAGUCUACAUGGGUUGUUAGGGAUACAACAAGUCAAAGGAAGAGGUGGAAUUUGGUUGGUUGGUUAGCAAUUUUUUACUUCUUCAAAUUGUACAGCAGAGUGAAAAAGUUACAUAUUUUGAUAGUGAUUUCUUUGUUCUUCGCUUUCUUUUUAUUUGCUUCUCAUUUUGUUACCCCCAACAAUGAAUUUUGAAACGCGAAUCCACCCUCUUAAUUUAGCUUCUGCCACUCUAUCGAUAUGAAGUGUCAAAGUUAAAUCAAGGACGGACAAUGAUUUUAAAAUGAGCUGAGAUAGUUUAUACUUGAUGUAGAAAACUAUAAGAGAACUCGAUUUAAAAUGAGUUGAGAUUGGUGCCGGGGGUUGGCACUUAUAGGCCGCUAUCAAUAUGGGAUAGAGUUUAGUUUUAAUCUCAGGAGUCAAUCAUGGUUGGCCGAACGAAACAUUGCUACUAGGGGUGGGACAUUUGUAAUCCGCUAUCAACCGUGACAUAAUUUAUACUAAAGUCAUCACUUUUAACGUAGUAACGCCCUUUAAGAAAAAUAAAAAAUUUCUCCGUGAGUGCGCCGGGUGCUAAAGCGUGCCGAACUUAGGGUGUUAUUUUUCGGUCGGCUACUAUUCACCCGUUACUAUUCCUGUGCUACUAUUCAUACUCUCCUAAACCCUAAACCAUCAAUUUUAUUUAUUUUAUUUUAUUUUUUUGUUAAUUUUUUUUUCCCUUACCAUAACCAAACUAUCACUUCAUGUUCUACAAAACGUAUUGGCGGUAAAAAAAAAAUUCUUAUAAUCCAUGUCAAAACACACUCGAAAACAAGGAUAUAAAUAUGAAUCUAUAUAAAGUAAGGUAGGAAGGAAAAAAAAAUUCAAUAGAAAAAGAAAAAAGCAGAAAAUAAAUAAAUAAAAUAGAAAAUGAUACGAUCGGUAAUGUCUACCGAUUGUCCACGAUAAUGAUCACUAUAAAAGUAGCGACUUGAUUGCAUAUUAGUCGCUAUUAUCAUACCGAUCCUCCCUUUUCAAUUUUUUUUCUUUUUUAGCUUUUUAUUAUUUAUUUUUUAAAAAUUUCUUUUAUUUCUCUUACCAUAACAACAAACCAUCAUAUUUAUGUUCUUCAAAAUAUAUUUUUCCUUGCAAAAUUUAUUAUAAUUCAUAUUUAAACAUUUGUCAUCAACGAUUUAAAAAUAUUUGAAUUUAAUAGUGGUUACUCAAAUAAAUAAAUAAAUAAAUUGGAAUAGGGAAAAGAUUGGUACCAUGCUAUCGAUCCUUGCCCAACCGUACAUAAAUCACCGUUCAAUCUAUUUAUUUUCACCUUCGCCUCACCGUGAAGUUUUGAAAAUUAAGAUAAGACUUUCCUUUGAGAUUUUUGAGGGUGGAACCCCAUUUGACAAUGUUUUGGGCCUCACUAUUAUAUUUUUCACUUAUUUUUUAGUUUUCGGCAUAAAUAAUCUGCUAAAUAUACAUUUAUUACUCAAUAAAUCGUAAAUAUGCUUCCAGAUGCCUUAUAAAGUUUUCCUUAAUGCUCACAAAAAAAUAUUUUUCAAAAAUAAAAUAUUUGCAUUUUUGACAAAAAAAACGUGGAUUAACACUCACGAUUUUUAGUCGGUUUUGUAAAUUCAUAUAUAUAUAUCAUCGUUCAAUCUACUUAUUCACCUUCGCUUCACCGUAAAGUUUUGAAAAUUAAUGUAAGACUUUCCGUUGGUAUUCUUGAGGGUGAAACCGCUUUUUUAUAAUGUUUUGGGCCUCCCUACUAUAUUUUUUACUUACUUUCUUAGUGUUCGGUUUAAAUGUUCUACUAAAUAUACAUUUGUUAAGUUUUAAAAAUUAGUGUAAGACUUUUCGUUGAUAUUCUUGAGGAUGGAACCCCAUUUAGAGCCUAGUGCAAGAGUCCAAGUUCCAUAUCAACUUGGGCCGCCACAUAAAAGAAAUCAAGUGAUUGGGUUAUCACAAAAUUAGUUGGCCCAAUUGGAGUAAAAGCAACAUACAAAAUGCCAACUCUCUCUUUGCACAUCGAGAGUACACUCUGUAGCGUGUUAAGUCCGGUGAGAUAGAAAAAAGAAAGAAAUAUAUAGUCCGUUAGACCAUUUUCAAAGAAAAUAUCAAAUUUUAAAUAUGUUCCCUUGCAUCUAAGUUGGAGUCUCGUUUCUGUAGUGAAGUUGUUUAGAAUAUUGUCAUGUUAGGCAGAAAGAUUAAUCAAAUUUUCGGUGCUUGAUGAAAAUGACACACAGGAAUGUCCUGAAGGCCACCAUUGAUGUUCCUGAAGCAGGAGAAGCCAACUUUCAUUGCACCCACCUCGAUCAUCUUGAUGAGAGUUGGAGGAUGAGGCAGAUUAAUGCUAUAAUCCAAUCAAGCAAUGAGCCCCACAUCUUGGCUGGAGACCUCAAUUCUUUGGAUGAGUCAGACUACUCUCAAGAAAGAUGGACUGAUAUUGUAAAG